AGACACACUCCAGGUGUUCUGAGAUGGAAUGAAAAUUGAGUGCUUUCAGACUGAUGGGACCAUUACACCUUUAACCACCAGAGAAAAAAUGCAUCGUUCAGACUUCUAGGAUUACCGCAAAAUUACUUACGCGACGAGUCCCGACGGCUCUGUUGACAGAAUGAGGUGGACGUGCAGGUUGAGGCUGGUUUGGUUCACGAGCUAAUGAAUCAUCAAUGAAUUCCCAUCUUACACAAAACAUAAUAACAGUGUUCUGCUGUUGAACUGUUGCUACUCUUCUUCUGUCAGAUGAUUUAUGGUGUUGGGUAGAUUAGGACAAACACCAAUGACAUAUGUGCCCUUUAAUUCACCAGCCGCUGCCAUUGGACGAGUUGGGCCGUAAGCCUCCAUAGAUCUCACCUGAGGGUGCUGCUUGAGGAAUGAAGCUUGACAUUGAAUGAAAAGCAAUUAAGUUUGAGAGAAAGAGGCGGAUGAUUCUUUGACCCUGCCUACUCAUCUGUUCAAUCCCAGAAGUCUUCAGUGUUACAUACAUGAAUGAUUUUCACCUCAUGAGUCCUGUUGUGGAGGUUUUCAUCUUUAAGGUGCACAUCGACGCUCAGCUGACCUGGAAACAGCAGCAAGGACAGCGGUGAUUAAUGACAUCAGUGAUAAAGUGGGUGGUCUGCUCUAGUUUUCAGUCUUAGUUGUGGUUGAUUUUAAUAAUCAUAACAUUUAAAUGAUGAUAUGCAGAAGCAGAGGAACACUUUGAAUGGGUAGACAUUAUUACAAAUACAAGCUUUUGCUCAAUGGACGAAUAAAGAAAACCAAUUCAAAUCUCAUUCAACACAGCACAUUUUAUAGACAACAGGAAACACUGUUUGCAAUCUUUUUUAUUUCUGUUAUCUUUGAGAUUUUCAGGCGAUGUAUUUUUUAGUAAAUGAAUCCUACACGUGUGCUGCGA